rnacentral:lncRNA from 1 species
GAUGAGCAAAAGCAAGAUUCAGGGGUCCCAUAGUUGUGUUCUUUUCCAGGUAUCCUGGUUUCAGUUAGGACAGAGUUAAUUUUCCUCCUAGUAGCUGUUAGGGUGCUCUGUUUUGGAUUAGAAUGAGAAGAGUGCUGAUAACACGCUGAUGUUUUAAUUGUUGCAGAGCAGUGCUUACACCAAGCCAAGGACAUUUCAGCUUCUCGCUCUGUCCUGCCAGCGGGCAGGCUGGGGGUGCAACAAGAGCUAGGAGGGGACAGACCUAGGAAAGCUGACCCAAACUGGCCAAAGGGGUAUUCCACACCAUCUGAUGUCAUGCUAAACAAUAGAUAGGGGUGGCUAGCUGGGGUGGGGGGGGCAGGCUGCUCGGGGUUAGGCUGGGCAUUGGUCAGUGAGUGGCGAGCAAUUGCAUCGCUCAUCACUUGUUUCGUACACAUUAUUAUUAGUAGUACUAUUAUCAUCAUUAUUGUUAUUAUUAUUAUUGUUAUUACUAUUUUUCUGUCUUAGUAAACUGUCUUUAUCUCAACUCACGGGCUUCACUUUCCCAUUUCUCUCCCCCAUUCCAGAGAGGGAGGGGGGAGGGUGAGUGAACAGCUGUAUGGUGUUUAGCUGAUGGUCGGGUUAAACCACAACACCGGGCAAUGCUCUGUGAGUGCUGGUACCCAGAGGACAUCAGCAUUGGCAUUAAGUGGGUGCAGAGCCUUCCAGAGUCCAAAUCUCGGUUUCCUCCAGGCGUGUGGAUCACGGGGCCUCAUCCAUCCUUCUUCACAAGACAUCUCCGAUGCCCUUGGCAGGAUUUCCCGAGGGAAGAAAUAUUACAAUACGUUAUUACAGCCUGCCAUGGUACAAGACUCAUUUCCUCUGGGUGUGCCAGCACGGGGAUUAUCAGCCUGGACAGAAUCACAAAUUAAAGAGACAAAAUGCUCCUACGCUGAGCCUUGUGUCACCACCGGUCCUUCUGAAGCUGCCGUGCAGGUGUCCCUGAGAACAAAACCGCUGGAACAAGUGGAUGAAGGGUAUACAGACGAG